rnacentral:rRNA from 1 species
GGUUAAGCGAACAAGCGUACACGGUGGAUGCCCUGGCAGUCAGAGGCGAUGAAGGACGUGCUAAUCUGCGAAAAGCGCCGGUAAGGUGAUAUGAACCGUUAUAACCGGCGAUGUCCGAAUGGGGAAACCCGGUGCACUUCGGUGCAUCAUCGUUAGCUGAAUACAUAGGCUAACGAAGCGAACCGGGGGAACUGAAACAUCUAAGUACCCCGAGGAAAAGAAAUCAACCGAGAUUCCCCCAGUAGCGGCGAGCGAACGGGGAACAGCCCAGAGCCUGAAUCAGCUUGUGUGUCAGUGGAACGGUCUGGAAAGGCCGGCGAUACAGGGUGACAGCCCCGUACACGAAGGCACACAGGCUGUGAGCUCGAUGAGUAGGGCGGGACACGUGAUAUCCUGUCUGAAGAUGGGGGGACCAUCCUCCAAGGCUAAAUACUCCUGACUGACCGAUAGUGAACCAGUACCGUGAGGGAAAGGCGAAAAGAACCCCGGCGAGGGGAGUGAAACAGAACCUGAAACCGUGUACGUACAAGCAGUGGGAGCCUUCGUAAGAGGGUGACUGCGUACCUUUUGUAUAAUGGGUCAGCGACUUAUAUUCUGUAGCAAGGUUAACCGUAUAGGGGAGCCGAAGGGAAACCGAGUCUUAAUUGGGCGUUAAGUUGCAGGGUAUAGACCCGAAACCCGGUGAUCUAGCCAUGGGCAGGUUGAAGGUUGGGUAACACUAACUGGAGGACCGAACCGACUAAUGUUGAAAAAUUAGCGGAUGACCUGUGGCUGGGGGUGAAAGGCCAAUCAAACCGGGAGAUAGCUGGUUCUCCCCGAAAGCUAUUUAGGUAGCGCCUCGUGAACUCAUCUCCGGGGGUAGAGCACUGUUUCGGCUAGGGGGCCAUCCCGGCUUACCAACCCGAUGCAAACUGCGAAUACCGGAGAAUGUUAUCACGGGAGACACACGGCGGGUGCUAACGUCCGUCGUGAAGAGGGAAACAACCCAGACCGCCAGCUAAGGUCCCAAAGUCAUGGUUAAGUGGGAAACGAUGUGGGAAGGCCCAGACAGCCAGGAUGUUGGCUUAGAAGCAGCCAUCAUUUAAAGAAAGCGUAAUAGCUCACUGGUCGAGUCGGCCUGCGCGGAAGAUGUAACGGGGCUAAACCAUGCACCGAAGCUGCGGCAGCGACACUAUGUGUUGUUGGGUAGGGGAGCGUUCUGUAAGCCUGCGAAGGUGUGCUGUGAGGCAUGCUGGAGGUAUCAGAAGUGCGAAUGCUGACAUAAGUAACGAUAAAGCGGGUGAAAAGCCCGCUCGCCGGAAGACCAAGGGUUCCUGUCCAACGUUAAUCGGGGCAGGGUGAGUCGACCCCUAAGGCGAGGCCGAAAGGCGUAGUCGAUGGGAAACAGGUUAAUAUUCCUGUACUUGGUGUUACUGCGAAGGGGGGACGGAGAAGGCUAUGUCGGCCGGGCGACGGUUGUCCCGGUUUAAGCGUGUAGGCUGACUUUCCAGGCAAAUCCGGAAGGUUAAGGCUGAGGCGUGAUGACGAGGCACCACGGUGCUGAAGUGACAAAUGCCCUGCUUCCAGGAAAAGCCUCUAAGCAUCAGGUAACAUCAAAUCGUACCCCAAACCGACACAGGUGGUCAGGUAGAGAAUACCAAGGCGCUUGAGAGAACUCGGGUGAAGGAACUAGGCAAAAUGGUGCCGUAACUUCGGGAGAAGGCACGCUGACAUGUAGGUGAAGCCCCUGCGGGUGGAGCUGAAGUCAGUCGAAGAUACCAGCUGGCUGCAACUGUUUAUUAAAAACACAGCACUGUGCAAACACGAAAGUGGACGUAUACGGUGUGACGCCUGCCCGGUGCCGGAAGGUUAAUUGAUGGGGUUAUCGCAAGAGAAGCUCCUGAUCGAAGCCCCGGUAAACGGCGGCCGUAACUAUAACGGUCCUAAGGUAGCGAAAUUCCUUGUCGGGUAAGUUCCGACCUGCACGAAUGGCGUAAUGAUGGCCAGGCUGUCUCCACCCGAGACUCAGUGAAAUUGAACUCGCUGUGAAGAUGCAGUGUACCCGCGGCAAGACGGAAAGACCCCGUGAACCUUUACUACAGCUUGACACUGAACAUUGAGCCUUGAUGUGUAGGAUAGGUGGGAGGCUUUGAAGCGUGGACGCCAGUCUGCGUGGAGCCAACCUUGAAAUACCACCCUUUAAUGUUUGAUGUUCUAACCUGGCGCCGUGAUCCGGCGUGGGGACAGUGUCUGGUGGGUAGUUUGACUGGGGCGGUCUCCUCCCAAAGUGUAACGGAGGAGCACGAAGGUCAGCUAAUCCUGGUCGGACAUCAGGAGGUUAGUGCAAUGGCAUAAGCUGGCUUGACUGCGAGAGUGACGGCUCGAGCAGGUGCGAAAGCAGGUCAUAGUGAUCCGGUGGUUCUGUAUGGAAGGGCCAUCGCUCAACGGAUAAAAGGUACUCCGGGGAUAACAGGCUGAUACCGCCCAAGAGUUCAUAUCGACGGCGGUGUUUGGCACCUCGAUGUCGGCUCAUCACAUCCUGGGGCUGAAGUAGGUCCCAAGGGUAUGGCUGUUCGCCAUUUAAAGUGGUACGCGAGCUGGGUUUAGAACGUCGUGAGACAGUUCGGUCCCUAUCUGCCGUGGGCGCUGGAGAAUUGAGGGGGGCUGCUCCCAGUACGAGAGGACCGGAGUGGACGCAUCACUGGUGUUCGGGUUGUCAUGCCAAUGGCACUGCCCGGUAGCUAAAUGCGGAAGAGAUAAGUGCUGAAAGCAUCUAAGCACGAAACUUGCCCCGAGAUGAGUUCUCCCUGAGACUGUAAGUCUCCUGAAGGAACGUUGAAGACGACGACGUUGAUAGGCCGGGUGUGUAAGCGCAGCGAUGCGUUGAGCUAACCGGUACUAAUGAACCGUGAGGCUUAACCUU